GGAAAUAUGUCUGACAAAAGAACUACUUUGAUAGAGUAAACAACAGAGGUUAAAAUCCUCUUAUUUCUA
rfam:Homo sapiens chromosome X, GRCh38 reference primary assembly.